rnacentral:misc_RNA from 1 species
CCGAGUUUUCAACUCCCAAACCCCAUGUGAACUUAUACCAUUUACAACCGUUGCUUCGGCGGGUUCUCGCCCCGGGCCUUUACACCCCGGAACCAGGCGGCCCGCCGGGGGACCCAAACUCUAUGUCUUUAUGUGUAUCCUCUGAGUAACACUAUAAAUAAAUCA